AUUUAAAAUAUUAUUAAUUUUCUUAGAAGUGAUUUUUUAAAAAAAAAAUAUUUUUGUUUUAUUAAUUGGUUUGAAUAAAUUAAUAUUUAUAAUAAAGUAUUAGUACUGUGGAGGAAAUAAUUUAUAUACAAAAAAGAAUAAUUAAUUAUUUGUACCUUGUGUAUCAGGGUUUAUUAAUUAAAUAUUAAAAAUUUAAUUUUCUCGAAUUAAUAAGAGUUAUAUUUAUAUAUUUUUUUUGUUGAAUAAAAAUUAUUAAUAUAAAUAUAGAAGUGAAAUGCUAUUCGGUUAUUAAUAUAUCUAGUUUUUAAAGAAAAAAAUUUAAUUUUUUUAUUAAGAAUUAUAAUUUUAAAUUAUUAAUUUUAUACUUUUAAUAAAUAAUACUUUAAGGGAUUAGCUUUAAAGUAAAUUUUUUUAAAAUUAAAGAUUUUUCAUAGCUAAGUAGUAUUGUAAGUUUAAAUCUUUAGAAGUGUGUUGUAACUUUUUUAUAAAUAAAUAUGAUUUAUAUAUUAAUUUUGAAAUUUUUUAUUUAAAUAAAAAUUUUAAUAAAUAAAAUUUUAUAAUAAUGAUGAAAUUAGUAUAAAUUUGUGUAAGAAAUUUUUGUACAUAAAGGUUAAGUAAAGGAACUCGGCAAAUACAUUUUUCACCUGUUUAUUAAAAACAUGGCUUUUUGAGUAUAAUUUAAAGUCUGGCCUGCCCACUGAGUAUUUAAAUGGCCGCGGUAAUUUGACCGUGCAAAGGUAGCAUAAUCAUUAGUUUUUUAAUUGAAAGCUGGAAUGAAGGGUUGGAUGAGAAAAUAGCUGUCUCUAUUUAAUUUUUUUAGAAAUUUAUCUUUAAGUAAAAAAGCUUAAAUGAAAUUUGAAGACGAGAAGACCCUAUAGAGUUUUAUUUAUUUUUUUAUUGAGAUUUUUAGUAUUUAUUUAUUUUUAUAUGAAAAUGAAUUUAGUUGGGGCGAUUGAAAAAUUUAAUAAACUUUUUUUUUAUAUUUACAUUGAUUUAUGAAUAAAUGAUCCUUAGAUAAAGAUUAAAAGAUUAAAUUACCUUAGGGAUAACAGAGUAAUUUUUUUAGAGAGUUCAAAUCGAAAAAAAAGAUUGCGACCUCGAUGUUGGAUUAAAAUUUAAUUUUGGUGUAGAAGCUAGAAUAUUUAGGUCUGUUCGACCUUUAAAAUUUUACAUGAUCUGAGUUUAAACCGGUGUGAGCCAGGUUGGUUUCUAUCUCUAAUAAAUUAUAAUAUCUUAGUACGAAAGGACCAGAAAUUAGGUUAAUAAUUUGUUAAAAGAAUAAUAUUAAUU
rnacentral:rRNA from 1 species